rnacentral:rRNA from 1 species
ACUGCGAAUGGCUCAUUAUAUAAGUUAUCGUUUAUUUGAUAGUACCUUACUACUUGGAUAACCGUGGUAAUUCUAGAGCUAAUACAUGCUAAAAAUCCCGACUUCGGAAGGGAUGUAUUUAUUAGAUUAAAAACCAAUGCCCUCUGGGCUCUUUGGUGAUUCAUGAUAACUUCUCGAAUCGCACGGCCUUGCGCCGGCGAUGGUUCAUUCAAAUUUCUUCCCUAUCAACUUUCGAUGUUUGGGUAUUGGCCAAACAUGGUUGCAACGGGUAACGGAGGGUUAGGGCUCGACCCCGGAGAAGGAGCCUGAGAAACGGCUACUACAUCCAAGGAAGGCAGCAGGCGCGCAAAUUACCCAAUCCCGACACGGGGAGGUAGUGACAAUAAAUACUGAUACAGGGCUCUUUUGGGUCUUGUAAUUGGAAUGAGUACAAUUUAAAUCCCUUAACGAGGAACAAUUGGAGGGCAAGUCUGGUGCCAGCAGCCGCGGUAAUUCCAGCUCCAAUAGCGUAUAUUAAAGUUGUUGUGGUUAAAAAGCUCGUAGUUGAACCUUGGGCCUGGCUGGCCGGUCCGCCUCACCGCGUGUACUGGUCCGGCCGGGCCUUUCCCUCUGUGGAACCUCAUGCCCUUCACUGGGUGUGACG